GAUGAACGCUGGCGGCGUGCCUAAUACAUGCCAGUCGAGCGAACAGACGAGGAGCUUGCUCCUCUGACGUUAGCGGCGGACGGGUGAGUAACACGUGGAUAACCUACCUAUAAGACUGGGAUAACUUCGGGAAACCGGAGCUAAUACCGGAUAAUAUAUUGAACCGCAUGGUUCAAUAGUGAAAGACGGUUUUGCUGUCACUUAUAGAUGGAUCCGCGCCGCAUUAGCUAGUUGGUAAGGUAACGGCUUACCAAGGCAACGAUGCGUAGCCGACCUGAGAGGGUGAUCCGGCCACAUGGAAACGAGAACAGGUUCAGACUCCUACGGGAGGCAGCAGUAGGGAAUCUUCCGCAAUGGGCGAAAGCCUGACGGAGCAACGCCGCGUGAGUGAUGAAGGUCUUCGGAUCGUAAAACUCUGUUAUUAGGGAAGAACAAAUGUGUAAGUAACUAUGCACGUCUUGACGGUACCUAAUCAGAAAGCCACGGCUAACUACGUG
rnacentral:rRNA from 1 species